rnacentral:rRNA from 1 species
GCUUCCCUCUUUCUUCGUGCCUAAUACAUGCAAGUCGAGCGAACGGACGAGAAGCUUGCUUCUCUGAUGUUAGCGGCGGACGGGUGAGUAACACGUGGAUAACCUACCUAUAAGACUGGGAUAACUUCGGGAAACCGGAGCUAAUACCGGAUAAUAUUUUGAACCGCAUGGUUCAAAAGUGAAAGACGGUCUUGCUGUCACUUAUAGAUGGAUCCGCGCUGCAUUAGCUAGUUGGUAAGGUAACGGCUUACCAAGGCAACGAUGCAUAGCCGACCUGAGAGGGUGAUCGGCCACACUGGAACUGAGACACGGUCCAGACUCCUACGGGAGGCAGCAGUAGGGAAUCUUCCGCAAUGGGCGAAAGCCUGACGGAGCAACGCCGCGUGAGUGAUGAAGGUCUUCGGAUCGUAAAACUCUGUUAUUAGGGAAGAACAUAUGUGUAAGUAACUGUGCACAUCUUGACGGUACCUAAUCAGAAAGCCACGGCUAACUACGUG